rnacentral:rRNA from 1 species
CCCGCUGAACUUAAGCAUAUCAAUAAGCGGAGGAAAAGAAACUAACAAGGAUUCCCCUAGUAACUGCGAGUGAAGCGGGAAAAGCUCAAAUUUAAAAUCUGGUGGCCUUUGGCCAUCCGAGUUGUAAUUUAGAGAAGCGUCUUCCGCGCUGGACCGUGCACAAGUCUCCUGGAAUGGAGCGUCGUAGAGGGUGAGAAUCCCGUCUUUGGCACGGACGCCCAGUGCUUCUGUGAUGCGCUCUCGAAGAGUCGAGUUGUUUGGGAAUGCAGCUCAAAAUGGGUGGUGAACUCCAUCUAAAGCUAAAUAUUGGCGAGAGACCGAUAGCGAACAAGUACCGUGAGGGAAAGAUGAAAAGCACUUUGGAAAGAGAGUGAAACAGUACGUGAAAUUGUUGAAAGGGAAACGCUUGAAGUCAGUCGCGUCGUCCGAGACUCAGCCUCGCCUCGGCUUGGUGUACUUCUCGGAUGACGGGUCAGCAUCAAUUUUGCCCCUUGGAUAAUGGCGAGGGAAAUGUGACACCUUUGCGGGUGUGUUAUAGUCUCUAGUCGCAUGCAAGGGUCGGGAUUGAGGAACUCAGCACGCGCCUUCGGGCGUCGGGGUUCGCCCACGAUACGUGCUUAGGAUGUUGGCGCAAUGGCUUUAAACGACCCGUCUUGAAACACGG